AUACCCAGCAGUGGAAUUGCUGGAUCAUAAGAUUUCUCAGGAGGCAUGUAAGGUGGUCUGGUAUUCCCAUUGCUUGAAGAGUUUUCUGCAGAUACCAAACAAGUACAUUCAUUUCACAGCUUCCUGGCUUCCUGGGUGUCUGCUGUCAUCUUCACCCAGCGUCAAGCUCUGUGCAAGGCAAGACGACAGGCAUCAGACCGACAGAAGACUGUCCUCAGGAAGCUCUCUGCCCUGACCAGGGAGGGGUUUACACAGGGCAGUGACCGCCCUGGGGCUCAACGGAUACUUCCUCAGAGCUGAUCUCCCUUUGUGCUCAGGCUCAUUUUUUCUGGGUCCCAGACCACCUCUUUGGCUGUCCAGCUGUCCUACAGAGAAAGCUCCUGGGGGGGCGGGGGGGAUUGGUUGCAAACAACCCUGAUGCAAGACAUUUCUCGAGACUGCUCUUCCAGAAUGUAAACACCCUUCCUCACUUCAGGACCAGAGCUCCUGCCAGGACUUUGAAAAACAAGUUACACAAGCACCUUUGGGGUGCUUGGUCAUGCCACAUCACAGGUGCUGCUACUUGGGGAUGUGGGGGAAGGGUGACCUCAAGGACUCAGUCAGGGACAGUGCAUAAAUGCCAGACUCACUGGGCCAAGAGUUCAGGAAAACACAAGCCCUUGGGCACCACAGUAAGACACCGCCUGGGCAAGGAGUCAGUC
ensembl:lncRNA